rnacentral:rRNA from 1 species
ACUGAAUACUCAUGUCUCAUUAUUAUAUUUCAAAUUUUAUAUUUUAGUAAAAAAGCUAAAAUUAAUAUUAAAGACAAGAAGACCCUAUUAAGCUUUAUAAUUGCAAUUUAAUAUCAACAUAAAUUAAAAAUUAUUUUACUGGGGCAGUAGAUAAAUAAAAUUUUAUUUCCAUAAUAUGAAUACAAUUCUUGAAAAACCAAAGAAUUUUUAAAAAGGAAUAAGUUACUAUAGGGAUAACAGCAUAAUUUUCUUAAAGAGUUCUUAUCAUCAAGAAAGUUUGUGACCUCGAUGUUGGAUUAAGAUACCUCUUUCAUGC